rnacentral:rRNA from 1 species
CGAGGAAAGAACCACCAGGGAUUGCCCUAGUAACGGCGAGUGAAGCGGCAACAGCUCAAAUUUGAAAUCUGGCCCCCUCGGGGUCCGAGUUGUAAUUUGCAGAGGGAGCUUUUGGCGUCGGUCGUGGUCUAAGUUCCUUGGAACAGGACGUCACAGAGGGUGAGAAUCCCGUACGUGGCCGCCGGCCAUCGCCUUGUAAAGCCCCUUCGACGAGUCGAGUUGUUUGGGAAUGCAGCUCUAAAUGGGAGGUAAAUUUCUUCUAAAGCUAAAUACCCGCCAGAGACCGAUAGCGCACAAGUAGAGUGAUCGAAAGAUGAAAAGCACUUUGGAAAGAGAGUGAAAAAGCACGUGAAAUUGUUGAAAGGGAAGCGCUUGCGGCCAGACGUGCCCGCGGUUGAUCAUCCAGGCUCCAGCCUGGUGCACUCCUCCGCGGGCAGGCCAGCAUCAGUUCGGGCGGUCGGAUAAAGGCCUCUGUCACGUACCACCCCUCGGGGUGGCCUUAUAGGGGAGGCGCAACACGGCCAGCCCGGACUGAGGUUCCGCGCAUCUGCUAGGAUGCUGGCGUAAUGGCAGCAAGCGGCCCGUCUUGAAACACGGACCAAGGAGUCUAACAUCUAUGCGAGUGUUUGGGUGUCAAGCCCGAGCGCGCAAUGAAAGUGAACGGAGGUGGGAACCCUUACCGGUGCACCAUCGACCGAUCCUGAUGUCUUCGGAUGGAUUUGAGUAAGAGCAUAGCUGUUGGGACCCGAAAGAUGGUGAACUAUGCCUGAAUAGGGUGAAGCCAGAGGAAACUCUGGUGGAGGCUCGCAGCGGUUCUGACGUGCAAAUCGAUCGUCAAAUUUGGGCAUAGGGGCGAAAGACUAAUCGA